GCGGAUGUGGCGUAAUUGGUAGCCGUGCCAGACUUAGGAUCUGGUGCCGAAAGGCGUGGGGGUUCGAGUCCCUUCAUCCGCACCA
rnacentral:tRNA from 1 species